GCAGGCUGAAAUUCGCCUGCAUGAAGCCGGAAUUGCUAGUAAUGGCAGGUCGGCAUACUGCCGUGAAUACGUUCCCGGGCCUUGUACACACCGCCCGUCACACCAUGAGAGUUGGGGAUACCCAAAGCCCGUGAGCCAACUGUAAAGAGGCAGCGGUCUAAGGUAGAAACAAUGAUUGGGGUGAAGUCGUAACAAGGUAAC
rnacentral:rRNA from 1 species